rnacentral:rRNA from 1 species
UACAGAGGGGGCAAGCGUUAUUCGGAAUUAUUGGGCGUAAAGGGCGCGUAGGCGGCUUCGCAAGUGACGGGUGAAAUCCCUCGGCUUAACCGAGGAACUGCCUGUCAGACUGCAUGGCUUGAGACCAGGAGAGGUGAGUGGAAUUCCCAGUGUAGCGGUGAAAUGCGUAGAUAUCUGGAGGAAUACCGGUGGCGAAGGCGGCAUCCUGGACCGACAUUGACGCUGAACGGCGAAAGCUAGGGGAGCAAACGGG